rnacentral:rRNA from 1 species
UACGUAGGGGGCAAGCGUUGUCCGGAAUCAUUGGGCGUAAAGCGCGUGUAGGCGGCUUGGUAAGUCCGCUCUGAAAGUCCGGGGCUCAACCCCGGGAGGCGGGUGGAUACUGUCAAGCUCGAGUCCGGAAGAGGCGAGUGGAAUUCCUGGUGUAGCGGUGAAAUGCGCAGAUAUCAGGAGGAACACCGAUGGCGAAGGCAGCUCGCUGGGACGGUACUGACGCUGAGACGCGAAAGCGUGGGGAGCAAACAGG